AGUGUAUAUAUUUAUUCUUUCUUAUAAUCUUAGUAAUUUCUUGACUGAACUAUUAAGUUUAAUUAUAUAGAUUGUUGAGUUAAUAAGUAUAAAAAUAUCAUCUUUAAUAGUUUUUCACCAAUUUUUACAGACCAUUUAAACUAAUAUUCUUUAUUUUAUAAAAAUAAUGAUUGUUUCGAUAGUAUCUGUUCGCCCCAUCGCGCGGAUAACUACACUAGUUAUAAUUUUAUGAUCUGUAAUUUGCAAUGUUUUAUAACCAAACAAGUAAUCGUAGACAUUCUAGCUUAUUACG
rnacentral:lncRNA from 1 species